ACCUAGUGAUGUGGGCAUUUGUGCAAGAGGUCCCUAAAGCGCUCCCAAGUCUUGAAAAAUAGUUCUACAUCCACUUGUGAGAAACUAGUGAUGGCCUUCCUCAGUU